UUCGGUGGGGAUUAGUGGCGAACGGGUGAGUAACACGUGGGCAAUCUGCCCUGCACUCUGGGACAAGCCCUGGAAACGGGGUCUAAUACCGGAUACUGACCCGCCUGGGCAUCCAGGCGGUUCGAAAGCUCCGGCGGUGCAGGAUGAGCCCGCGGCCUAUCAGCUUGUUGGUGAGGUAACGGCUCACCAAGGCGACGACGGGUAGCCGGCCUGAGAGGGCGACCGGCCACACUGGGACUGAGACACGGCCCAGACUCCUACGGGAGGCAGCAGUGGGGAAUAUUGCACAAUGGGCGAAAGCCUGAUGCAGCGACGCCGCGUGAGGGAUGACGGCCUUCGGGUUGUAAACCUCUUUCAGCAGGGAAGAAGCGAAAGUGACGGUACCUGCAGAAGAAGCGCCGGCUAACUACGUGCCAGCAGCCGCGGUAAUACGUAGGGCGCGAGCGUUGUCCGGAAUUAUUGGGCGUAAAGAGCUCGUAGGCGGCUUGUCGCGUCGGUUGUGAAAGCCCGGGGCUUAACCCCGGGUCUGCAGUCGAUACGGGCAGGCUAGAGUUCGGUAGGGGAGAUCGGAAUUCCUGGUGUAGCGGUGAAAUGCGCAGAUAUCAGGAGGAACACCGGUGGCGAAGGCGGAUCUCUGGGCCGAUACUGACGCUGAGGAGCGAAAGCGUGGGGAGCGAACAGGAUUAGAUACCCUGGUAGUCCACGCCGUAAACGGUGGGCACUAGGUGUGGGCGACAUUCCACGUCGUCCGUGCCGCAGCUAACGCAUUAAGUGCCCCGCCUGGGG
rnacentral:rRNA from 1 species